UUUGUUGUAGCAAUACGACGGAAGUUUUAGUGGCGAACGGGUGCGUAACACGUGGGCAAUUUGCCUUAAAGUGUGGGAUAGCUCGGCGAAAGCCGGAUUAAUACCGCAUGUGGCUACUGGAGACAUCUUCGGGACGCUAAAGGUGGCGCAAGCUACCGCUUUUUGAGGAGCCCGCGGCCUAUCAGCUUGUUGGUGAGGUAACGGCUCACCAAGGCGUUGACGGGUAGCUGGUCUGAGAGGACGACCAGCCACACUGGGACUGAGACACGGCCCAGACACCUACGGGUGGCAGCAGUCGAGAAUUUUUGACAAUGGGGGAAACCCUGAUCGAGCGACGCCGCGUGGAGGAUGAAGGUCUUCGGGUUGUAAACUCCUGUCAUUUGGGAACAAGGCGUGGGUAUUAACUGUGCACACGUUGAUAGUACCAGAAGAGGAAGAGACGGCUAACUCUGUGCCAGCAGCCGCGGUAAUACAGAGGUCUCAAGCGUUGUUCGGAUUCAUUGGGCGUAAAGGGUGUGUAGGUGGCGCGCUAAGUCGGGUGUGAAAUUUCGGAGCUUAACUCCGAAACUGCAUUCGAUACUGGCGUGCUUGAGGACUGGAGAGGAGACUGGAAUUCACGGUGUAGCA
rnacentral:rRNA from 1 species